rnacentral:rRNA from 1 species
GAUGAACGCUGGCGGCGUGCCUAAUACAUGCAAGUCGAGCGAACAGACGAGGAGCUUGCUCCUCUGACGUUAGCGGCGGACGGGCGAGUAACACGUGGAUAACCUACCUAUAAGACUGGGAUAACUUCGGGAAACCGGAGCUAAUACCGGAUAAUAUAUUGAACCGCAUGGUUCAAUAGUGAAAGACGGUUUUGCUGUCACUUAUAGAUGGAUCCGCGCCGCAUUAGCUAGUUGGUAAGGUAACGGCUUACCAAGGCAACGAUGCGUAGCCGACCUGAGAGGGUGAUCGGCCACACUGGAACUGAGACACGGUCCAGACUCCUACGGGAGGCAGCAGUAGGGAAUCUUCCGCAAUGGGCGAAAGCCUAACGGAGCAACGCCGCGUGAGUGAUGAAGGUCUUCGGAUCGUAAAACUCUGUUAUUAGGGAAGAACAAAUGUGUAAGUAACUAUGCACGUCUUGACGGUACCUAAUCAGAAAGCCACGGCUAACUACGUG